GGUAACCGUAGCCUGGUAGACGGGGGAGUAACGUAAUUGGUAAACGAAUAAGCUAAUAACGCAUAACAGUAAAUGUUGCAUGACAUUUGCUUAAAAGGUAGCAAUUGCAUCACUACCAGAUGGACCUGCGUUGUAUUAGCUAGUUGGUGGGGUAACGGCUCACCAAGGCGACGAGUACAUAGCCGACCUGAGAGGGUGAUCGGCCACACUGGGACGUGAGACACGGCCCAGACUCCUACGGGAGGCAGCAGUAGGGAAUCUUCGGCAAUGGACGGAAGUCUGACCGAGCAACGCCGCGUGAGUGAAGAAGGUUUUCGGAUCGUAAAGCUCUGUUGUAAGAGAAGAACGAGUGUGAGAGUGGAAAGUUCACACUGUGACGGUAUCUUACCAGAAAGGGACGGCUAACUACGUG
rnacentral:rRNA from 1 species